ACACAUGCAGUCGAACGGAGUUGUGUUGAAAGCUUGCUGGAAAUGCAACUUAGUGGCGGACGGGUGAGUAACACGUGAGUAACCUGCCUUUCAGAGUGGAAUAACGUUUGGAAACGAACGCUAAUACCGCAUAACAUGAGAGAACGGCAUCGUUCUUUCAUCAAAGAUUUUAUCGCUGAGAGAUGGGCUCGCGGCCGAUUAGGUAGUUGGUGAGAUAACAGCCCACCAAGCCGACGAUCGGUAGCCGGACUGAGAGGUUGAACGGCCACAUUGGGACUGAGACACGGCCCAGACUCCUACGGGAGGCAGCAGUGGGGGAUAUUGCACAAUGGAGGAAACUCUGAUGCAGCGACGCCGCGUGAGGGAAGACGGUCUUCGGAUUGUAAACCUCUGUCUUUAGGGACGAAAAAAUGACGGUACCUAAGGAGGAAGCCACGGCUAACUACGUGCCAGCAGCCGCGGUAAUACGUAGGUGGCAAGCGUUGUCCGGAAUUACUGGGUGUAAAGGGAGCGUAGGCGGGAGACAAGUUGAAUGUUUAAACUAUCGGCUCAACUGAUAGUCGCGUUCAAAACUAUCACUCUUGAGUGCAGUAGAGGUAGGCGGAAUUCCUAGUGUAGCGGUGAAAUGCGUAGAUAUUAGGAGGAACACUAGUGGCGAAGGCGGCCUGCUGGGCUGUAACUGACGCUGAGGCUCGAAAGCGUGGGUAGCAAACAGGAUUAGAUACCCUGGUAGUCCACGCCGUAAACGAUGAUUACUAGGUGUGGGGGGACUGACUCCUUCCGUGCCGGAGUUAACACAAUAAGUAAUCCACCUGGGGAGUACGACCGCAAGGUUGAAACUCAAAGGAAUUGACGGGGGCCCGCACAAGCAGUGGAGUAUGUGGUUUAAUUCGAAGCAACGCGAAGAACCUUACCAGGUCUUGACAUCGAGUGACGAACUUAGAGAUAAGUUUUUCCUUCGGGACACGAAGACAGGUG
rnacentral:rRNA from 1 species